UAUUAAUGUGAUAUUUAAUAAUGUGAUAUAUUAUUUGCAUUAAGCCAGUGAUAUUUAUUAAUACUCAUCAUUCAUACUAGACGUGUUUUGCAGAAACAUUUUUAUCUGAUUGCUGUUAUUAACUGCUGUGGCUUUGUGAUUUGCUGCUUUUGCAUAUCGUAAAUCACUUGAAUCACACAUGAUUGCCAUCUUCCUGAAUGAGCACUGCAGAUUUAUGGACAGGAAUCCCCUUAUGUCCUCAAGUACACGAGGAUAAAUUCAAAGCCUUAAUGGCAAUCUCUAAUUUAUAAAGUCUCUCAACCAUUUGGUAAAUAAAAGUUCUUCACAACAUCUGAAAAGCCAUUUGCAUGUGUGCCCUUUGAGAGGCAUUAUUUUUAUCAUUAUAUUUUACUGCAACAAUUUUCAUCAUUCUAUUCUGUUAGGUCAUAUCUGAAGAUCAGAACACCACUUGAAAAAAAGUGCUGAGCAGUUAAAUAACAAGAACAUUCCUAACACAAAGAAUUUAAAUCUAUGUAUGUCAAAACAAAAAUAAAUACAACACAGAAUGUGUAGAAGUUAUUUGAUGCAAAUAAAUGAAUGAGGAAACAAAAAAAGUCUAAAGAUGCUACUGGUUGUGUGACUGCUUUUCUACUGGCACAACUGAAUAUAUUGUGCAGUAAAGAUGGCAACGGGAAGAUGGCGAGGUAGCCCUUAAAACUCUUGCUCUGCUUUCUGUUAACAGUUAAUAUGGAGUUCAGUGAAUGAAAACAAGCCUUCAUAGAAUUACAUUAUGAAAAUUGUUUUAAUGAAAAAGCAUACAUGCUUUAUUAGAGUCUAUACUGACUGCUCAGCAGUCAUGUACUUAAUCAGACUAAUUGCUCUCACUUCUGCAGUUUAGAAGUAAGCCAGAGACGCACACAACUGUUGAUGCAAAUUAAAACUAAUUUACAACCUGAAAAUCUGCACCACGUUCUGCAACAGCUCAGCCGAGCUACAGACACCUCCCUUCCUCCACUCAAGUUUGAUGAGAUGGAGAGAGGCAAUGGUUUCCUGCUGAAGUGUGGUUGUGCUAAGGCCCUUGUACCCUCUUUUAAAUUAAUUAGGCUCUCUCACAACAAGAUGAGAAGAAAGUGCCCCAGGAAUUGAGGUGGAUGUGUGCAGAUGUCUGCUGGGUACAGGGUAGCAGCACUGGGUUAAAAACUUGUACCAUAGAUGAUGAGAACUUCUAGAACAAAUUCACACAUGCAGAAAAUUGCUGUGAACAGGCACAAGCACAAGGUGUAGGCAGAAUAAACAGACAAUUGCCCCUCCCCACACUUUUAUAUAUGGAUAAGGUGAUUUUUAUUUGGGAGUGCUGACAAAGAGCGUGUAUGGCAAAUAGGUAUACAGGACCAGAGAGAUUAUCACAUUACAAAGGAGUAAUGAAAUAAAGAUCCUACCCGUGUCCUGGGCUCACAGAAGGACUCUAAGAGGAGCGAUCCUAGAGAUCACUCCUCCAGCUAGAGAUCCUUCCUCCUUGGGAGUCAGCCCUUAAAUGGGGCCUAGGAGGGGUGGAGCCUGGCUCCAUCCCUUCCAGUCACUCAGGUGAAAUUGUGUUCACCUGUGCCCUUGCACCUGACUCAGUGCUCGCCUCAGGUGGUCAAUCAGAGGUUCAGGCCGUGAUUCAACUGUUCCCAUACAGAGUGCUAUUCUGGAAGAGCUACAGUAGUGCUAAUCAAUUUUCUAUGUGCAGUAGAAGCAUCUAAGAGCUCACAUACAUACUCAGUUUAUCUAAGAAGACUUCCAUACCAAACCAAAUCUCAAUAUGGACCUUCCACAUGAAAGCAAAAGCCAUCUCAAUAAGCUUGGAUCUUUCCAUGCCUCAGUAUGAUAGUACAGUGAUAUUUUACAUGGCAAUAGUCCUAACAGUACACAUUUGGUAUCACCAAAGUAAGUUAUCUGCAAAAUAGCAAAUGAUUGUCCUACAUUGUACUAUCUGGCAUUGAAAAUAACAUGAGAAACUUCCCAUUUCAUAUGUACAAAGUAAACUUGCUGCUAGAAGAGCUGGAUCUCCAUUUGAAACAUGAAGAAACCUUCAGAUCAUCAGGUCCAGUCCUCUGCUCUUGCAGGAAUUCACAUCCCUGAAUCAACAGGAGGUCUCCAAGCCAGUAAAAUCAGCACACAGUCAGAGUUGGAGAUUCGGAUUCGCUUUGUUUUUCCUCUCAUUCUGCUCUCAACACACCAAGGUCAAGUGUGUGCCAUUACUGUGAAUUCAUGCACAAAUAGGGAAGGCUCAGGUCCCUGUGUGUCAUCAGUACUGUGAUUGCAGAGAGCCUGUGAAAGUUUUAAGCACAAAAAUAAGAAAUUGAGUUAGUCCUGCCAGCUUCAAAUACUUAAAUACCAUGAGUCAGUUCCUCCCAAAGCCAAACAAAUAAUUUUCUUCAAAGAGCAGCAAAUAUAGAGCUCUUUUGAGUUAAACCAUUAUUAUUCCUUUGGAUCACAUUUCUUUUGCAAGCACAAGAGCAAGAAAAUUACUCUUUUGAAAAGGCAAGACCCCACCUCAUCUCAGGUCACCAGGACUUGCAGGUGUAAAAGCACCCCGAGUUACUUACAAAAUCAUAAGAAUUAGAAUCAUAGAAUUAUAGAAUCCUUAGAGUGGGAAGGGACAUUUAAAAGUCAUGUAGUCCAACUCCCCUGCAAUGAACAGGGACAUCCACAGCUAGAUCAGGUUGCUGAGAGCCCUGUAGAGCCUGACCUCAAGGCCAGGGAUGGGGCAUUCACCUGUGGAAGUGCCUCACCAUCCCCACUGUAAAUGACUUUUUCCUUAUAUCCAGCAUAAAUCUUCCCCCUUAAAGUUUAAAACCAUUUUGCCUUGUCCUAUCACAACAGACUCUGCUACAGAGUCUGUCCCCUUCUUUCUUGUGUUUCUCCUUUAGAUACUGAAAGGCCACUGUCACGUAACCUCAAAGCCUCCUCUUCUCCAGGCUGAACAGCCCCAGUUCUCAGCCUGUCCCUGUAGGGAGGUGUUCCAUCCCUUGGGUCAUUUUUGUGGCCCUCCUCUGGACAUGCUCCAACAGGUCCAUGUCUCUCCUGUACUGAGGACUCCACAUCUGGACGCAGUACUGCAGGUGAGGCCUCAUCAGCACAGAGCAGAGGGGCAGGAUCAUCUCCCUUGUCCUGCUGGCCACGCUGCUUUUGAUGCAGCCCAGGAUAUGGUUGGCUUUCUUGGCUGCGAGAACACACUGCUGCUCAUUCUAGCUUGCCAUUCAUCAGUACCUCCAAGUCCUUCUCAGCAGGGCUGUGCUCAAUCCUUUUUCAUCUCUCAUCUUGCAUUGAUAGUGAGGCUUGCCCACUGGGCCCACGGCUCAAGCCUGUCUAGGUGUCUCUGGAUGGCAAUCCAUCCCUUGAGCAACUUGUCAACUGCAUCACACAGCUUGGUGUCAUCCUCAUACUUGCUGAGAGAGCACUCGACCCCACUGUCAAUGUUAUUGAUGAAGAUAUUAAAGAGUAUUGGUCACGACAGUGACCCCUGGGAGACACUACUCACCACUGACACUGAGUCAUCGACUCUCUGGGUUCAAUCCUGCAGCCAGUUCCUUGCAGAUUAGUGCUUAUUAACUGGUAGAUUAGUGCUAAAUAAACUUGUCUCCAAAUAGUGUUUCUGUUUUCCAAGCACAUUGACUUGGCUCGUAUUCUCUUUAAACCUGGAACCUGAGUAAGUGUUGGGUUUCUUUUCUGCUCUUCAGUGCUCUUCUGUUUCACAUACAGAGAACACUCAUUUUUCAGAGGGUAGUGUGAUAGCUUCCUUGCAGGUCGGUCCAGAAUCUCUUUUUCCCCUCUGAAAUGCCUUAGAUUAUGAGAUAGUUUCAAGUUCAAAGAUUGCCAAGGAAACUUCUUCAAAAGUGUUCUUUGAGUCAAAGAUAAAAGCGAUGCCCAGCAGGAACAGGCUAACAGUAGUCAAAGAAAAGAUGAACUCCCAGCAGAAGUGAUGGAAUUCACUCCCUUUCGUUCAACUACUGUGAAAGACUACACCAGUCUCUAUUAAUAAUCUUUUUUCUUUUUUUCUUUUUCUGUGCACUGUCUACACCAAUAGAUAUGUAAUAAAUCUGCCUGUGCCUCUGCCUUUUUAACCUAACUAUCCUGGUGCUUAUGAUGCUUUCCCUGAGAACGGGGCUUAGACCACCGCACACUUCAUACGGUAACACAGAUGUCAUCAAAAAAUGACACAUCUGCACACUUCUGCAGCAGGCAAAGGACACCAGGGCUGUGCAAGAGAACACCAGCCUGGACCUGGAGAAGAUGAUCUUCUGGAUUUAGUGGUGAUCUGUUGAUACAUCAGUGAGCAUUUAGCAUCUUCUUCCUCAAUAAAUCUGAGAUUCUCAGAAAGUCCACUGAUGUGGAAUUAUAUAUCUAAAUUCAGUGCUACAAAUGCAGAAAAGCUAAGAUCCUUUUGCAGAAAGGGAGAAAUUAAUAUGGAGAGGCAUCCAGACCAGAAAUGUUGGUGGUCAGAGGAGUGUUUCCAAGAAAACAACUUUUAUCUCCUGCAAAUCUGUACUACCAUUAAGCCCUUACUGCUUGAUUGCCCUUAUGCCAAUCAUGCUCGUAAGUUACUUCUCAUUUCUACCUUUGGAAGCAUUUACAGAGGAAGCUGAUAUCUUCCUAUCCCCUCUAAUACCUGAGAAACAUGAGUUUGGAAGAUCAAAUGACUUUCCUCAGCCACCUAACAGUCCUGUGACACAGCCUCUUGGCUCAGCUCCUGGGGCAAUGACUAUCAUCAUGGUUCUUCAGACCGCAGCAGAUCCACUGUGUUAUCAGAGAAGUUGUAAUAAAAUAGCUUAUUUCCAUGCUUUCUGAGUAAACCUGCACUUCAGGCACCUCCUUUGUGCCUCUGUGUAUUGCGGGCCGUAACCCAAUAAGCCUGUGAUGACUUCUGCAUUCCCAAACAGCGAGCGAAUGAUACCACAACCCCGCUAUGCAAAGUGGCUUUAAUGUAUUUCUUCUAAGUUAACUAAAUGUUGACGAUGUUCUCUGAUAAAUAAAAGCCCUAAAAACUGUUCCCAGUGGUGCAGUACUGAUCAGGAAGAAAUGUAUCUCAAGGCAACUCUCUUACACUGAAGUUUUCUAUAAAGAAUACUCUGAAGCUUCGCCAUAAAUAAUUAAACACCUUUUUAAAAUAUUAAUGCAGUUUGUUGAUGGCUUCUGUUUUGUUUAUGUUGUUUCGAAGAUGUUGACUGUAGGCAAGUAUAGAUCUUAUCUCUGAUGAAAAAAAGCUUUGAAAGUAGUCUAACACCUUUGCAGUUGAAAGUCUUUCUCCAGACAGGGACUUUUAACUAAAGAGUGCUGUCAGCAAGGCAACACUCCUGAGGAGGAAAAUCUAUAGAUAAAACAGAGCACAGCAAAGUCACUGCAAACAAAUCUGCUCAGUGUUUGAGCCACUAAUGUCAGCUGUUUACAAAUGCCAGAACUUUGGCUCCAUAACGCUGCUGUCAGCAAUAUGCACGCAUAGACAGAGAUGGUCUGAGGCAGUAAUUGAUAUUAUUUCCAAACUAACUAAUACAAAAAGUGGUUAUUAAGAGCACUUUAAGGCACUGCUGAGAAAACGGACAAUAGUUGCAGUGCAUCACUUUCCUUAUUAUAGUUCCCUUCCAUUUAGGAAGAGCUUACGGGUAUCAAGGCUGAUGGCAUCUAAUAAAUGAGUACUAUCCCUGUUUCUGGAGCCAAUCGCGAGGCUGCAGGUAAUUCGAACAGUAUUUUUAAAUUCAUGGAAAUGUGACAAAGUUUUUCCAAUUGUUUUUCUAUUUGGGAAGAUUUAAGAUUUCCAACCAGCUGAUGACAGGGCACUGCAAGGAAUCUGGAGCGUUCCAGUCUCAGUCUCCCACAAAGCAGAGGGCACAAAUGCCACAGCUCUAGUGCCAGCUUUAUGAGUUGAAUACCUCUCAAAGCUCACUCUUCUAAGAAUGAUCCUACUUGGCCAGGAGCAACUUUUGUUGUCAGCCUCAUGCCCCCUGCUUCCAACAGCUCCAAGCUGAUCCAUGACUAUUAUUUCUGUGCUGUUUGUUGAUGCAGCUUGGUGUCCCACUGCCUGAACUGAACACUAGGGAUCUCCCUUAAAUAAUAAUAAUAAUCAAAAGGCUCAUAUUAAAGAAAACAGAAAAAUGAAGUACAGAAUAAAAAAAAAAGUCUUCCUUAAGGUUAGAAAAGUGGUAACUGCUAGCUUAUAAGUGGAGUCCCAGAUGUGGAAAAACCCUCCUACAUCCUUGCCUUUGUGCCAACAUAAUAGAAUAACCACUUUUAAAAUACCUGAAUUUAAGUGCCUCCCAUUACUGCAGCAGACCUGCAGAUGAUCAUGGUUAAUCUGUUGUACUGAAUGCAGGUAUCCAUUGUUUCUGCAAUUAUCUGCUGAGCACAGAUUCCAGCACUGAACACAAACGCAGGGCAUUGGUAUGCUGGGUCUCCUGUGCUCUGCUGUUUAUGUUAAACGGGUUGGUGUAAGUACUAUUGUAAAUGGUGAAGCUCAUUAUAUCUUCAUAGGUAUGAGCUCUUGGUUUCAAAAUGAGAAGGAAGAGCUCCUGUUGAUUCCCACAGCUUCGUCAGACACCCAGAGCAGUCUGCUUGCCUGCAGACCUGUCGCUGCAACGUGGCCUUGAGUCAAUUAGGCCAUUUCAGAAUUAAAAAGAAAGAAUAUUGAAUGUCACUAGCAGAUGGUGAAGCUCUCUAUUAAGUAGAUAAAGUCUGGAUACGUUUUCAGGGAAGAAGAAUGAAAUUAACAAGCAUAUAAAACUGCAGUGUUGCUAGUCCCCAGAGCAGAAGCAUGGUUUUCUGGGCAUGUUCUGCCUCAGUUGAGCAGUGGUGUAAGAGGGGCAUUUUCCUGCUCUGGAUUGUGGUCCUGUGUGCACCAGUGAAACAUGCCAGCCUCCCUUCAGCAGUGUUGCAGUGGCACACAGGUCUUUUAUGGGUGACUGGUCCACCUUUCAAAUGGGGCUCUUUCCAAACUACCAUAAGACCUUCAGAUUGCUAUUGCAUAACACCACUAGCACAGACCCUUAUCUUAGCAAGUUAGCAUUAAAAUGUCACAGCAUGAUCAAAGCACUGAAAUUCACGCUACUUUCCCUCUUCGCUUGAAGAAGUGAAAUUAUUAACUAGGUCAUUAGAAUAAAAAUUUAGCACUGUAUGCGUUCACAACAUUUUGCUUCCACUAAUUAAUUUCCAACUGAAUCCCCUGCCAGAGGAUCAUCUUACUAUAGUGAGACAGAGGUCACAGUAUGCAGAAGCUUAAUUGGAGGGGAAGAAGUCCCAGAAGGACAUAGCCCUGCUGCAUCUCCACGAUGGGCUGGACCAACAGUGCCAAGGGCCAUGCAGAGCUGGAACUGUGCGAGCUCCUGCAAAUGCAGCCGUGGGGCAUUGUUGCUGUGGGGCUCUGUCCUCAUUGUAAGCAUCAGAGCAUGCACAGGAAUGUGUCACCUUCAUAAUUAAGUCUUCUAAUUAGCGCAUCCUAUCCCUGACAUAGGCAGGAUUACAUUUCAGCAACAGGUUGGCCAGGUGUUCAACAGCACCAUGUUCAUACGUUCAUACCAAGAUGCUAGUAAGCCUGCAGGUGCAUCUGUGCAUGGCACAGCCCCAGGACUGGCUGUGGAAGCAGUGGCUUGGGUCGGUGACUCUGGAUGGAUCCAUCCCACCACAACGUUCUUGCAAACAGCCCUUGUCUGUGUGGCCUUCAGCAGUAAAGGCAAAAGGUGGUGGGAAUAGGGGCAUGCACUGUCUGUGAUGCUCCUCCAUGAAGCCACUCAUGGCCACUCACUCUUCAACCCACUGCCUGACCAUAAUGUCUGGAGCAACCCCAGAUGCCCCUGCUUGCUCAGCCGAUACGUGUAGGCAGGAC
rnacentral:lncRNA from 1 species